UACGUAGGUGGCAAGCGUUGUCCGGAAUUAUUGGGCGUAAAGCGCGCGCAGGCGGUCCUUUAAGUCUGAUGUGAAAGCCCACGGCUCAACCGUGGAGGGUCAUUGGAAACUGGGGGACUUGAGUGCAGGAGAGAAGAGUGGAAUUCCACGUGUAGCGGUGAAAUGCGUAGAGAUGUGGGGGAACACCAGUGGCGAAGGCGGCUCUUUGGUCUGCAACUGACGCUGAGGCGCGAAAGCGUGGGGAGCGAACAGG
rnacentral:rRNA from 1 species